CUUCUGAGGUCAAGCCAUCCACUCACAGGACUUCUUCUCAAGCUGGAGCCCUUAGUUGAGCUGAUUUUACACAAUCGAGUAGAGAAAGAAAAUGGCUUUUUGUGCUCUUCCUCAGCAAUCUGAUCCUAUGCGAUAUAUAUUGAAGCACGACUUUCACAGAUCAAAUAAGGCCUUUACUAACCCACUGUGUGAUUCAGAAGAGGGUGAUCAAGAAAGUGAGUGACCUAGAGAACACACCACGGGAUAACCAAUCAACACAGACAAGGGCCUGAUGUUUGACAGCCAUCUAAUGAGCUAAAUGAAUUCUACAAAUUCUGCUCUACCAUGUUGGAUUUGCUCUUGUGGAUAAUACUCAGCAGACCACUACAAUUUCUAUAGAGAUGGAGUUUCACCAUGUUGCCCAGACUGGUCUUGAACUCCCGGGCUCAAGCAAUCUUCCUGCCUCGGCCUCCCAAAGUGCUCGGAUUACAGGGGUGAGCCACCCUUCCCAGCCUGAAAAGACAAGCAGAACAACUCUUAAUAGUAGACAACUUCACCAGGAGAACAGCAGUUCAGUACAACAGGAAGGCCAGUGUCUCCCCAGUACCACCUGCCUGAGCUACUACAAGGGUUCCCCUAACAGAGAUGCCUGCCUCUAUCCAUCCUCCUACAGCCCAUUCUCCAGUCAGCAACUACAGGCAUCUGUGAAAAUAUCAGAUCGUAUCACAUUACUCUUCAGCUAAAAGUACUCCAGUGGCUUCAAUAUGUACUAAGAAUAAAACGCAAACUUCUGGUCAUUGCCCACAAGGCUCCUUCAUGC